rnacentral:tRNA from 1 species
GGGGCUGUGUUCUAACUUGGCUAGGAUUCCUGCUUAGGGAGCAGGCGGUAGGGGUUCAAAUCCUCCUAGCCCCA